rnacentral:lncRNA from 1 species
GGGAGGGACAGUAGGACUCCCUCACUGCCCUCCCCAGGUCUCUUCUUGACACGCAGUUUUGUCUGGCCCUGGCAGUGGCUUUUGGCAGCUGGAGGAGAGCAAAAGUCAAUGUGGAGAGCAAGUGACAUUUAGAAGCUGGAACCUGUUAGUCAGAGCAGGUGGCGCGCUCUGCUGCGUUGGUGGCUAAGUUCCCUCGAGCUAGUCGCCAUGGUUUUCCUCACUUCUGAAACUUGGGG